UUUUUUUUGUCCUAAUUUAUUUCAUUUUAGGGAGUGGGCGUGGGAGGAGAAAAUAUCAUAAAAUCAGUUGAGUGUGAGAUACUGUCAGUAACAUGUUUGUCUUCUUUUGUAGGAACUAUUGAAAGUUACUCACCUGCUCUGUAGUAGUUAUUGGCACAGGCUGGCAUUUAAUGUCAAACUGGCAAAUUAAACUGUAUUUCCAGAUCCAAGGAUUCUGGUAAAACCAAAACAGAUGAGAGGACUGGUGAAACAAUGAAUGUUAACUCAAGAAAUGUGAAUUGUUUUUAAUUUCCUGUGGAAAAGCUUCAGACAUCUAACCUCAAGACAGAAGUAAAUGCAUCGUGUGUUAAUCAGGCAGAAUAAGGAAUAGGAAAACAGGAGUCUGGGUGCAAACAUUUCACAAAUCUCAGUGAUGUGUUUUAUCACUGAGGGGCAGUUUACAGAAGUGUUACUUGAAGUGUUGCACAGACAUUGAGAGACCAGCACCAGUGACACAGGAGCAUCAGGAGGGAUGAUAAAAGGAGGCUUUUCAGCUUAUGCCCUUUCUAAAUGUGGUCAGGAGAAAACAGAAACCUGCUGAGUUC
rnacentral:lncRNA from 1 species